GUGGGGAAUAUUGGACAAUGGGCGCAAGCCUGAUCCAGCAAUGCCGCGUGCAGGAAGAAGGCCUUCGGGUUGUAAACUGCUUUUGUACGGAACGAAACGGUCCUGGCUAAUAUCCGGGGCUAAUGACGGUACCGUAAGAAUAAGCACCGGCUAACUACGUGCCAGCAGCCGCGGUAAUACGUAGGGUGCGAGCGAUAAUCGGAAUUACUGGGCGUAAAGCGUGCGCAGGCGGUUUGGUAAGACAGGUGUGAAAUCCCCUGGCUCAACCUGGGAACUGCACUUGUGACUGCAAGGCUAGAGUGUGUCAGAGGGAGGUGGAAUUCCGCGUGUAGCAGUGAAAUGCGUAGAGAUGCGGAGGAACACCGAUGGCGAAGGCAGCCUCCUGGGCCUGCACUGACGCUCAUGCACGAAAGCGUGGGGAGCAAACAGGAUUAGAUACCCCUGUAGUCC
rnacentral:rRNA from 1 species